rnacentral:rRNA from 1 species
GAAAGGUGAAAAGCACCCCGGAAGGGGAGUGAAAUAGAUCCUGAAACCGUGUGCCUACAACAAGUCAAAGCUCGUUAAUGAGUGAUGGCGUGCCUUUUGUAGAAUGAACCGGCGAGUUACGAUUGCAUGCGAGGUUAAGUCGAAGAGACGGAGCCGCAGCGAAAGCGAGUCUGAAUAGGGCGAAUGAGUAUGUAGUCGUAGACCCGAAACCAUGUGAUCUACCCAUGUCCAGGUUGAAGGUGCGGUAAAACGCACUGGAGGACCGAACCCACGUACGUUGAAAAGUGCGGGGAUGAGGUGUGGGUAGCGGAGAAAUUCCAAACGAACUUGGAGAUAGCUGGUUCUCUCCGAAAUAGCUUUAGGGCUAGCCUCGGAAUUGAGAAUGAUGGAGGUAGAGCACUGUUUGGACUAGGGGCCCAUCUCGGGUUACCGAAUUCAGAUAAACUCCGAAUGCCAUUCAUUUAUAUCCGGGAGUCAGACUGCGAGUGAUAAGAUCCGUAGUCGAAAGGGAAACAGCCCAGACCACCAGCUAAGGUCCCAAAAUAUAUGUUAAGUGGAAAAGGAUGUGGCGUUGCCCAGACAACUAGGAUGUUGGCUUAGAAGCAGCCAUCAUUUAAAGAGUGCGUAAUAGCUCACUAGUCGAGUGACACUGCGCCGAAAAUGUACCGGGGCUAAACAUAUUACCGAAGCUGUGGACUACACCAUUAGGUGUAGUGGUAGGAGAGCGUUCUAAGGGCGUUGAAGGUCGAUCGUGAGGACGGCUGGAGCGCUUAGAAGUGAGAAUGCCGGUAUGAGUAGCGAAAGACAGGUGAGAAUCCUGUCCACCGUAUGACUAAGGUUUCCUGGGGAAGGCUCGUCCGCCCAGGGUUAGUCGGGACCUAAGCCGAGGCCGAUAGGCGUAGGCGAUGGACAACAGGUUGAUAUUCCUGUACCAGUUGUUUUUGUUUGAGCAAUGGAGGGACGCAGUAGGCUAAGGAAUGCAUGCGAUUGGAAGUGCAUGUCCAAGCAAUGAGUCUUGAGUAGAGUUAAAUGCUUUACUCUCUAAGGACAAGUUGUGACGGGGAGCGAAAUAAUAGUAGCGAAGUUCCUGAUGUCACACUGCCAAGAAAAGCUUCUAGUGAGAAAACAACUGCCCGUACCGUAAACCGACACAGGUAGUCGAGGAGAGUAUCCUAAGGUGAGCGAGCGAACUCUCGUUAAGGAACU